rnacentral:rRNA from 1 species
UAGGGAAUAUUGGUAAUCUGGGAAACCGGGAACCAGCAACGCCGCGUGCGCGAUGAAGGCCUUCGGGUUGUAAAGCGCUUUUUGAGAGGAUGAGGAAGGACAGUACUCUUAGAAUAAGCCUCGGCUAACUACGUGCCAGCAGCCGCGGUAAAACGUAGGAGGCAAGCGUUAUCCGGAUUUACUGGGCGUAAAGCGCAUGCAGGUGGUUUUGUAAGUUGGAUGUGAAAGCUCCUGGCUUAACUGGGAGAGGUCGUUCAAAACUACAAGACUUGAGAUUGGUAGAGGAAAAUGGAAUUCCGGGUGUAGUGGUGAAAUGCGUAGAUAUCCGGAGGAACACCAGUGGCGAAAGCGGUUUUCUGGACCAAUUCUGACACUCAGAUGCGAAAGCUAAGGUAGCAAACG